GACAUCUCUUUAUUCCCGAGUGAACAGCAGAAAAUGAGAUGGAGUGAGAGCCGAAAGAAGGUCCUGUUCUCUACGAGUGAAUAUCCUAAUGACCAUAAUAAAGCCAGUUCCCUUUUUGGGGACUGACAUUUGUUGAGAACUCCCCCUAUGAAUGCUGUCUUGCUGCAAAACUUCACCUCUGGAUAAAGUGGCUGUGCUCCUUCUGGAUGUCUGCAUCAGGGCUGCUGAGGCACAGCUGAGAAUGCACCACACAGCUGACUACGCUGCUGAGCAAAUCUCAUUACUAAAUGCACAUCCCUUUCAAGGAUGCCAGGCGUUAGGGCUGCAUUGCAACUUUGAUGGACACUGGGGAUUAAUGCCUGUGUGUCCUUGUUCCAUUAAAAAGUUUGAAGUUU
rnacentral:lncRNA from 10 species